AGCAGGGCAGUGCAGUGGGAGCGUGCUGGGCCUGUAACCUAGAGGUCAAUGGAUCGAAGCCAUCCUCUGCUA
rnacentral:tRNA from 1 species